rnacentral:tRNA from 1 species
CUUUAUUUGAACUGGUGACACGAGGAUUUUCAG